AUGGGAUUAUGGAAGGUUGUUGAUAAAUAUGAAGUUGUUUUAAUGUGUGACAUUGUUACCUCAGCAACCCACAAAAGCCUUCGAUGUCCAAGAAGAGGCAUCGCCUUAUAUGAGAAAAUUGAAUUCUCAAAUUCUAAAAUUUGUGUUGUAAAUAAUCAGAGUGACAAUUUUUUAGGAACAAUAUCUUUAUUCUCAUAUUGGUUUUAG